AAGAGAGUGCAAGAGAACGUGAAACCGUUAUAGUGGAAGCGGAUAGAGUUGACGUAUCCAGUGCGUAUUCAGCUGUUUCGCGGGGCAAUUUGUGGGUUCGGAGUUCUGCAAAGUCUCCUGCCCGCAUUGUUGUCUUGUGGAACGGUGCAUUUGCGUACAGAGUGCGCCGAAUCGAUUAAGCUCGCCGUUUGAGGGGUGCCAAGUGGACUGGUCUUCGGACCAGAAACCUGGGCUCUCGGAUGACGGAUGGGUUUGAUUGGCAAAUGGAGUUGGUAUUUCGUGGCAGUCGUUGGUGGUUGGGGCAGCUAGCGUACGAUGCGUGCGUCUUGCGUUUUUUGCCUUCGUCGCCGGCGGUUGUUGCUCUUCUCCGAAUUCGGUGUUUAGUCAAUCACCUAUUUGACCCGUCUUGAAACACGGACCAAGGAGUUUAAGGUGUACGCAAGUCAUUGGCGGUAGAAAGUCAAAGGCGUAAUGAAAGUGGGACACUUGGUGUCUGCGAUGUGAGCCUUGUCCGUUUCGACGGGCUCGGCGCAACAUCGACCCAUGACUAGGACUUGUUCUGUUGUGGAGUCUGAGCGUACGCUUUGAGACCCGAAAGAUGGUGAACUAUGCCUGAACAGGACGAAGUCAGAGGAAACUCUGAUGGAAGUCCGAAGCGGUUCUGACGUGCAAAUCGAUCGUCUGAUUUGGGUAUAGGGGCGCAAGACUAAUCGAACCAUCUAGUACUG
rnacentral:rRNA from 1 species